AAAACGUCAUAACGAGCAAAGAAAUCCAUGCAGCAUCAAGGUAAUUAUUUUUGAAUAGUCCCACAUUACUCUACAUACAAUCAUACCAAUUUAUAUACGUCCUACAUGUAGCAAGCUAGAUGAAGGAUGGAUGGAUUAAGUUGUACGAAGGAUUCAUGGAUUGGUACGUUAACUAACUGGAAAAGGAACCUGAAUUUCUGAAAAUAUUCACAGUUUCUCAAAAAAUGUUUGUGUUUUCCAGAAUUGUUUGAAUUUUUAACAAUUUUCUUUAGUAAAAUGUUCUCAAAUUCAUAAUAAUUUUUGUGUUUAAAAAGCACAUUUUGUAAAAUUGUCCUGAAUGUUGAAAACAUCUUUCAGUUUUCAAAAACUGUUCACAAAAUUUUAAAAUAUCGAAGUCUAUAUAAAAGUUUUAUGUUUUCAAAAAAUAUUUGUGAAAUUAAAAAAUGUUCCUAUUUCAAAUUUUGUUCAUAUUUUCUGAACAAUGAAUGGAAUUUUCAGAAAAACUGUUCACAUCUUUAAAAUCUGUUCAGGAUUUCAACAAUUAUUCAUGUGUCCAAGAAUAUUUGGUUAUUCGUAAAAAAUAUUGUUUUUCAAAAAGGUAAAAAAUCAAAAAUUAUUUGAAAUCUGAUGCUGGAGUAUGUUCUUAAAUAUUGGCGCUAGCCAUUGGUUAGCAGGACGUGUUUGUUUGAGUGGUCGGCAGUACUUAGUCAAGUCUUUCAGGUCAUGAGUUCAAUCCUUCAACUCGUCUUUUUUUUGUAUUUUUACUCGCGCCUUACAAAGACAAGUCUUUCGGUGCCUGGGCCUUUCACAGCCCACGCAACUUAGCCAACCCAACUACCUGGGAAACAAGGCAAAACAUAUUUUAAAUAGUCUCACAUUGCUAUACUUUACAUGCAGUUGUACCAAUUUAUAUGCGUGUGUGCGAAACUACAUGUAGUAAGCAGGAUGAAGGAUGGACAGACUAGUACAUGAGCUAGCUGGAAAAGACCCUGAAUUUCUUUUAAAAAAGAAAAGAAAACCCGACUAAGUGAGCUAGAUACAUGAAAAAGAGAAGACCCGCCUCUUCCAUAUUAUGGAACUUCGUGCCUUCAAUCCCCAUGGGAAAACGGAUUGCAUAACUUGCGGGCAUUCUCUGACAUGUGAUGACCUAACAAAACCCAAGACCUAAAUGUUCAAACAUCAUACCUUAAUUCUUCUCGAUCAGUAAACGGAACAAUAGCGGAUUGAUUACUUCAGACGUGGCUAUACACUUAAUAUAUAGCUGUAUACCUGGGAUUUGAUAACAUACUCAAGCUUUAAGACGAGGGCAUAAGUUGUUUCUCGUACCCGUGCUAAUGUGGAAAAGAAACAGCUGACCGAUCAGGUGUACCUCUGUUUUUCAGUUAUGGACGGUCACAAUGCUGCAGACAAUGGCAAGCUAAAAAACCAAAAGACUAUAAUCUAUUUGAAGUUGGUCAUAAUACAGAACUUGAAAUAUGUCCUGGUGAUCAUGCAAAUGCAGAGAGUAAUACAUAUGUUGAUCAUGUGUUUUGCUCGGAACAAGAAACAAUACCGGAUAAGGACUUACUCAUCUAUAUCAUCAUCAUCGUCUGUAGAUCAUCCGUUGUUUGCAUACUGCACCUGCAUCUUCUUUCCACCAAGCACCCAAAUUACUUUCACUGCCAAACACAUCAAUCAGUGACAUGACAAAUUUACCAAAACAUCAUAACGAGCAAGGAAAUCCACGCAGCAUCAAGAUCCAGACGAGAUGAGCACAAUGCAGACGGAUCAAAUUGACAUGUAAAGACUGAAUGGAAGGCGAAACAGUUCAGUUUUCAGAUUCCGUUCAGCAACAACCCCGGAUCGAUAAGCGAUACUAACGACAACCAUGAACGAUUACAUACAGGACGCAAUUCGGAAACAUGACAGGCUCCCUCCGAUCCUAUGCAGCCAAGGCUCGCUACUCCUCAUCCGCGGCGGCGGUCUCCUCGGCGUUGGCGGUGUCCUCGGUGGCGG
rnacentral:lncRNA from 1 species